AUUGAACGCUGGCGGCAUGCUUUACACAUGCAAGUCGAACGGACUUAGGGGCUUGCUCCUGAGUUAGUGGCGAACGGGUGAGUAAUGCAUCGGAACGUACCGUGUAGUGGGGGAUAACGCAGCGAAAGUUGUGCUAAUACCGCAUACGAUCUACGGAUGAAAGCAGGGGAUCGCAAGACCUUGUGCUAUACGAGCGGCCGAUGUCGGAUUAGCUAGUUGGUGAGGUAAAGGCUCACCAAGGCGACGAUCCGUAGCGGGUCUGAGAGGAUGAUCCGCCACACUGGGACUGAGACACGGCCCAGACUCCUACGGGAGGCAGCAGUGGGGAAUUUUGGACAAUGGGCGCAAGCCUGAUCCAGCCAUGCCGCGUGAGUGAAGAAGGCCUCGGU
rnacentral:rRNA from 1 species